rnacentral:rRNA from 1 species
UGAACGCGGAAUCCCUAGUAACCGCGUGUUAAAACCGCGCGGUGAAUACGUCCCCGCUCCUUGCACACACUGCCCGUCGCUCCACCCGAGUUGGGUCUGGGCGAGGCUUAGUCGUGUUGGCUAGGUCGAGCCUGGACCUGGCAAGGGGGGAGAAGUCGUAACAAGGUGGCCGUACGGGAACGUGCGGCCGGAUCACCUCCUACCGCC